rnacentral:rRNA from 1 species
CUUGGAGGUUGUGCCCUUGAGGCGUGGCUUCCGGAGCUAACGCGUUAAGUCGACCGCCUGGGGAGUACGGCCGCAAGGUUAAAACUCAAAUGAAUUGACGGGGGCCCGCACAAGCGGUGGAGCAUGUGGUUUAAUUCGAUGCAACGCGAAGAACCUUACCUACUCUUGACAUCCACGGAACUUAGCAGAGAUGCUUUGGUGCCUUCGGGAACCGUGAGACAGGUGCUGCAUGGCUGUCGUCAGCUCGUUGUGAAAUGUUGGGUUAAGUCCCGCAACGAGCGCAACCCUUAUCCUUUGUUGCCAGCGGUUCGGCCGGGAACUCAAAGGAGACUGCCAGUGAUAAACUGGAGGAAGGUGGGGAUGACGUCAAGUCAUCAUGGCCCUUACGAGUAGGGCUACACACGUGCUACAAUGGCAUAUACAAAGAGAAGCGACCUCGCGAGAGCAAGCGGACCUCAUAAAGUAUGUCGUAGUCCGGAUUGGAGUCUGCAACUCGACUCCAUGAAGUCGGAAUCGCUAGUAAUCGUGGAUCAGAAUGCCACGGUGAAUACGUUCCCGGGCCUUGUACACACCGCCCGUCACACCAUGGGAGUGGGUUGCAAAAGAAGUAGGUAGCUUAACCUUCGGGAGGGCGCUUACCACUUUGUGAUUCAUGACUGGGGUGAAGUCGUAACAAGGUAACCGUAGGGGAACCUGCGGUUG